GUCUGACGUUAUUAAACUGCUGAAGAUAAAAAUGGAUUCAACAAUAUAAUCAUAACAAGUAAACACUAUGCCAGGCAACACAUCUAGGAUGCUAGACUUCCCCAGAAAAGAAGCUUGACAUCUGAGGAGUGUUUAAACAGGCUCUCCUGGUGGGUAAAAAGGCUUCUGGCAGUCCACAUUCUCUGUGAGAUAUUUUGAAUAAUAGCAACACCCUCCACCAUCCUGUGGCCAUCUGUUCACAAAGCCAAAGAAACAGGUUUCUCUCUGUCCAGGGGGGGCUUUGAGCUGAGACAACCGCCAUAGGAUGGAGGGGCUAUGAAGAUCAGUGAGCAAAAACAGGCAAGAUCCUCAGGAAUGACAUUUGUCUUUCCAAAAAAGGUCAGGUCCAUGUGAAGUUACUCAAAAUAUUGUAUGUGUCACUAUUGUUCAAAUGCUACUGCUCUAUUAGAAACCAUUAUUAACCAGAAACUAUUAUUGCUAUUACUAUUAUAUUAUUAUGCAAAUAUAUUUUUACCCUUUUGCUUACAAAUUUGUGUGGGGAAUUCCUGUGCACUGCUAAUUCCCACUGUUGGCCUGGUGAGAAUGUAAACAGCCACAUGUCUCCUGAUACACAUGGAGACACCAGCUGCUUCGUUUGACUUGCCGUUGAGGAGCUUCACCAGGAAGGUAAAACACAUGCAGAGGUUAAUGUCCCUCAGAUCCCACCCCCCUCGUGAAUGAAUCCCUCACUGGCUUUCCACCAGUGUACAGCUAGUUGCAUUCAAAAGAGUGCCAGGAGUCAGAGGUAACCCUCUCUGGGAUUCUGACUUGCAUUUUACUAAUGCAUUUAAUUAAUUGUAAUGUUUGUUUUACAGAAAAGGUGGCAUAAAUGCACUGGGUGGUGUUUGGCAAUGUUACAGCUGUAGGCAAAGCAAUAUCUUAAAGGGGCUCAUUCACUGCCACUAGAUCUCGCACUAGGGCACCAGCAUCUCAAACCAAAACAAAUGGGUGCUAUGGCCCACCAGACUCCAUUGAGAAAAACAGCUAUUUUACCUUGCAGAUCAUCGUAAAACACACUUCAUUUAAA